rnacentral:tRNA from 1 species
GCCCUGGGGUGUUUGGCACGUCGGAUUGCAAACCCGAAAGAGCGGGUUAAUAGCCUGCCGGGGCUU